rnacentral:rRNA from 1 species
GAUGAACGCUGGCGGCGUGCCUAAUACAUGCAAGUCGAGCGAAGCGGGGACGGGUGAGUAACACGUGGAUAACCUCCUAUAAGACUGGGAUAACUUCGGGAAAACGGAUCUAAACACGAUACUUAUAGAUGGAUCCGCGCUGCAUUAGCUAGUUGGAAGGUAACGGCUGACCAAGGCAACGAUGCAUAGCCGACCUGAGAGGGUGAGCGGCCACACUGGAACGUGGACACGGUCCAGACGCCUACGGGAGGCAGCAGUAGGGAAUCUUCCGCAAUGGGCGAAAGCCUGACGGAGCAACGCCGCGUGAGUGAUGAAGGUCUUCGGAUCGUAAAACUCUGUUGUUAGGGAAGCGGUACCUAAUCAGAAAGCCACGGCUAACUACGUGCCAGCAGCCGCGGUAAUUC